AACGAACGCUGGCGGCAGGCCUAAAACAUGCAAGUCGAACGCCCUAGCAAUAGGGAGUGGCGCACGGGUGAGUAACGCGUGGGAACGUGCCCUUCGGUACGGGACAACGUCGGGAAACUGACGCUAAUACCGUAUAAUAUCUCAGGAUCAAAGAUUUAUCGCUGAGGGAGCGGCCCGCGUCUGAUUAGCUAGUUGGUGAGGUAAUGGCUCACCAAGGCUACGAUCAGUAGCAGGUCUGAGAGGAUGAGCUGCCACACUGGGACUGAGACACGGCCCAGACUCCUACGGGAGGCAGCAGUUAGGAAUAUUGGACAAUGGGCGCAGGCCCGAUCCAGCCAUGCCGCGUGUGUGAAGAAGGCCUUCGGGUUGUAAACCGCUUUUGUCAGGGAAGAAAAGGUUCUGGUUAAUACCUGGGACUCAUGACGGUACCUGAAGAAUAAGCACCGGCUAACUACGUGCCAGCCGCCGCAGUAA
rnacentral:rRNA from 1 species